AUGUUUGCUCAACGGCAUGAUGCAUUUUUUCUGUACUUUCUGUGUGUGCAAGAUCAAAUAUAUGUUGCUUGCAAUAUGAGCCCGCUCUUGUUAAGCAUAAAGAGUGAAGAAAAUAUUUUCCUGACAUCUUGGCUUAGCUACUUUUAUUGUUUUCCCUGUCAGAAAAAAGGCACCGAACGUGUCGCUACUCUAUUGAAUGAGCAACCACUUCCACACUACUACAUACUAGUAAAAUACUUGGAUCUCUGUAGCUUCUUGACACUUGCAGAAUUAAAUCUAGUCAUAGAUAGUACUGAUAAUUGA
rnacentral:rRNA from 1 species